UUUCCGUGGGUGAAUCUGCGGAAGGAUCAUUAAUGAGUUGUCAUGGGGUUCGAUGCUGGCAGCCAGUUUUUGGAUGCAUGUGCUUGCCCUAACAAUCAUCUUCUUCCAAACACCUGUGCACAUUUUUGAGGGAGUCUUGAGUUGGUUGCCGCUCUUGGGUGAUUUUCUCACAUUCCCUUAAAUCAUUAUACGCUAUUAACAAUGUUGAACGUGCUCUGUGCCGCAAGGCCAUUAAUAUAAUACAACUUUUAACAACGGAUCUCUUGGCUCUC
rnacentral:misc_RNA from 1 species